rnacentral:rRNA from 2 species
UAAUACGGAGGGUGCGAGCGUUAAUCGGAAUUACUGGGCGUAAAGCGUGCGUAGGCGGUUUGUUAAGCAAGAUGUGAAAGCCCAGGGCUCAACCUUGGAACUGCAUUUUGAACUGGCAAACUAGAGUACUGUAGAGGGUGGUGGAAUUUCCAGUGUAGCGGUGAAAUGCGUAGAGAUUGGAAGGAACAUCAGUGGCGAAGGCGGCCACCUGGACAGAUACUGACGCUGAGGCACGAAAGCGUGGGGAGCAAACAGGAUUAGAUACCCUGGUAGUCCACGCCGUAAACGAUGUCAACUAGCUGUCUGUGGACUUGAUCCGUGGGUAGCGGAGCUAACGCAUUAAGUUGACCGCCUGGGGAGUACGGCCGCAAGGUUA